rnacentral:rRNA from 1 species
AUGGAAGUGGACAGGGGCACUGGUGAUGCCUUGCCGGUAGUGCUCGCGCAGGGAAGGAGGAUGGGACCUCGACGGACUGCACGCACGCCAGCGAGCUGCACCAACGUGACUGACGUACUGCACGCCGUCGGGGGCCAUACUGCAACAAAGCACCCAUCCGCACUGCAUCGAGGAAAUCAUGCAUACUGCAAUGCUUUGCACAAGCAAAAUCUGGAAAAAAAAGAAGCCCGAACUGCAACCCAGCAAUGCACCGCACCUCAUCGAGUUACCCAGGCGAACUGCAUGCUGGAGCGGAUCUGGCAGACGGCGGCCGAAUCCAGAGCUGCGGCGACGGGCGAGCUUGAGAUGGCCAUGGCAGUUCCUGCGGAAGAAGUGUAUGAGGAGGGGUAA